rnacentral:rRNA from 1 species
AAGUCGAACGAUGAUCCCUAGCUUGCUGGGGGGAUUAGUGGCGAACGGGUGAGUAACACGUGAGUAACCUGCCCUUGACUCUGGGAUAAGCCUGGGAAACUGGGUCUAAUACUGGAUAUGACUGACUAUCGCAUGGUGGUUGGUGGAAAGCUUUUGUGGUUUUGGAUGGACUCGCGGCCUAUCAGCUUGUUGGUGGGGUAAUGGCCUACCAAGGCGACGACGGGUAGCCGGCCUGAGAGGGUGGACGGCCACACUGGGACUGAGACACGGCCCAGACUCCUACGGGAGGCAGCAGUGGGGAAUAUUGCACAAUGGGCGCAAGCCUGAUGCAGCGACGCCGCGUGAGGGAUGAAGGCCUUCGGGUUGUAAACCUCUUUCAGUAGGGAAGAAGCGAAAGUGACGGUAC